GAGAUAAUGAUGAAGCUAAAUUUAUUCAUAUUCCAACACUUGGACUGAGAGAUUUGUUCUCAACAGAUGUACACAAUGCUUCUGAAUCUUG
rfam:Helianthus annuus linkage group 9, whole genome shotgun sequence.